rnacentral:tRNA from 1 species
AGCCUUAUAGUCAAUUUUAUGAUUCUAAAUUGCAAGUUUGGAGUAGGGGCAGCCCUAAGGCUU